rnacentral:lncRNA from 1 species
GGCUGGCAGCGUCCUCCUGCAGGCACAUGGACGCGACGGCGAGCGCCUGGUACAGCGCCUUCACUGGGUACCUGUUGCCCAGCAACGGGUCGGCCAGCUUCACGAACCUCCUCUUGUCUCUCAGCAGAGGCGACGCCUGCAUGCAGGAAAAUCGUAUGCUUAAUUCUCGUUCUCGAUCGAUCGGUGACCGCAAAUGAGACGAGAGGAGAGAAACUCACCCAGUUAAGUAGGACCUGCUCCUCGGACGGCCUGGCCAUGUCGAUGGCGCGGCGGCCGGUGAUGAGCUCGAGCAGCACGACGCCGAAGCUGUAGAUGUCCGACAUCUUGGUGAGCUUGCCGGUCAUGGCGUACUCGGGGGCGCAGUAGCCGUAGGUGCCCAUGACUCUGGUGCUGACGUGGCUCUGGUCGCCCAUGGGGCCCAGCUUGGCGAGGCCGAAGUCGGAGAGCUUGGCGUUGAAGUCCGCGUCCAGGAGGAUGUUGGAGGCCUUGAGGUCGCGGUAGAUCACCGGCGGGUUUGCCACCUCGUGCAGGUACUGGAUGCCCUUCGCCGCGCCCACCGCGAUCCGCAUCCGCGUGUGCCACGGCAGGGGCUUCCAGCUCGGGGGCAAGUCCAGGAGAUGGUCCUCCAGCGAGCCCCUGGGCAUGUACUCGUAGACCAGGAUCCGCUGGUUGGAGUCGGUGCUGUAGCCCAGCAGCUUGACGAGGUUCGGGUGGUGCAGGAGGCUGAGCAUCAGCACCUCGACGAGGAACUCGCCGUUGCCCUGGAGCCCGUCCCUGUUCAGCUGCUUCACGGCGAUAACCUCUCCGGUGUCCUCGAGGAGCCCU